CCUGGGUACAAGUCCCGGUCUGUGGUUGUAAUGGUUUAUGUAUAUCUAGAGUUGGGAGGUCCUGGGUACAAGUCCCGGUCUGUGGUUGUAAUCGUUUAUGUAUAUCUAGAGUUGGGAGGUCCUGGGUACAAGUCCCGGCCUGUGGUUGGAGGUCCUGGGUACAAGUCCCGGUCUGUGGUUGUAAUGGUUUAUGUCUAUCUAGAGUUGGAAGGUCCUGGGUACAAGUCCCGGUCUGUGGUUGGAGGUCCUGGGUACAAGUCCCGGUCUGUGGUUGUAAUGGUUUAUGUAUAUCUAGAGUUGGGAGGUCCUGGGUACAAGUCCCGGUCUGUGGUUGUAAUCGUUUAUGUCUAUCUAGAGUUGGGAGGUCCUGGGUACAAGUCCCGGUCUGUGGUUGUAAUGGUUUAUGUAUAUCUAGAGUUGGGAGGUCCUGGGUACAAGUCCCGGUCUGUGGUUGUAAUGGUUUAUGUAUAUCUAGAGUUGGGAGGUCCCGGGUACAAG